UGUACAAGAAAUUCGGAGACGAGACAAGCUUCACACUUAAAUCACUACACAGGGUUGCCACAUGCAAAGUUUUGCACCCAUUUAAUGUGGAAAUUGUAUAUUCUUGUUGGUAGAUUGUAGUAUUAUAUUGUUAUCAUAUCGAGCAAGAAUUAAUCACUCCUAAGAUCCCUAUAAAUAAAGAGCAAAUGCACUCUUACAUCACACAAGAGAGUCGUCCUUCACUGACACAUAUGGCAGAGAGCUCAGCUCCAUCCCAACAGUCUUAUCACAAGCCGGCAACCUCAGCCCCGAAACUAUUCGGUUUCCCACUAACUAAGCAUGAUGAAAUCCUAGCCAAAACAGAAAACAGUGUAGAAAGCAGGAAAUUCGAGUGCCAUUAUUGCCGGCGAGCCUUUGCCAACUCACAAGCGCUAGGAGGCCAUCAAAAUGCUCACAAGAGAGAGAGGCAACGAGCGAGGCGUUCCCAAUACCAUUGGGAUCGGCGUUUGCUGGCAGCUGCUCCAGCUCUGAGCUCACAUACUGUGAAAGCAUCAUCAGGAUCUUCCAUUUCUGGUGCAGGAUUUACUAGAAUCGGCGUUGCUGCUAAAUUUAGGCCACAAGAAGCAGCAGCAAGUUAUUGUCCGUCGUCGACAAGGCCCGGCCUGCUACUUCCAUCGUCUCCUUCUCAUCAGUUUUCCUCUCGAAUUUAUGUCGCGCAACCGUUGCGCCUCGGCGCUGCGAUGCCAUCAUUUGUUGAAUUUCCUGGUAAAUUGCUGUCUGAUGAGGAUGUAGGAAUUGACCUUUGUCUCAAACUUACUCCUUCCAUUUAGUAUAUAGUUGAAAACCCUUUUUUUUCCCGUUCUAAUUUCAUUUCGGAAACAGCCCUUUAAUUUUUAAUGCUUUUCAGUGAGUUUGAUUGUUAUGAAAUCAUUCAGCUCAAAAUUCCCCAACCACAUGCAUAUGCUAAAUUUACUUUGACAUCCAUUAACGCUUAAUUA
rnacentral:misc_RNA from 1 species